GUGAAGGAACUGGGUUGACUAAGAAAAUAAGCCUAUAGGCAGAAGGAGAGAAUGAAGAACAAGGGCAAAGCAAAUGCCCUGGGCAGUGUGGCAGUUAGCCCAAAGGAAAGGUGUAUACUGGUUCCUGUCUAUCUGUCCACCUGCUGGAUCCCACAGAAGAAACAAAGAACUUGUCAUAUGGAUGUACAAGAGGUACUGUCUGAGGAGGGGAAGUACUCUUAUUGUGAGUAACUUCUGUGACACUAUAAAAGGACAAGACGCAGUAUUGUAGAGCUGUGACAAGUCCUGCAGAAUGUUCAACUGUUUGUUCAGAGACUUCAAGACGUCUCCUUGUCCUGUGUCCUCACAAGCAGCCGUAGCUGUCUGCUGUCUGAUAAUUUGUUCUGGGGAAGGGAGGCAAAGAGAGCUAGUAUUCCUGCCUGGAAGUGGCUGCCAAUCAUGGAUAUACCAGAGGUCCACACCUGCACCUGGAGCCUCUAACUCAGCUUCUAAUUGGCCAAAUGACCAGAAGUUCCACCUGGGGGAAAAGGCCAGGGAGAAAAAAUAUGAUGCCACAAUAUGAUGAACGUUGCUCAGGUCCUACUGAUCUGAGGCUACAAGCAUGGAGCAGAGCAGAUAUUACAGUCAGAGCAGAGGAAGUACAUGAGUAGCCUGAAGUCCUACAGAAAAUUGGUGUCAAACCCAGCAUUUUAACUUGGGCCCUUUUGGAAGAGAGGGUGCUUAACCCUGGAAGGCUUCUACUUUCCCAAGGCAGCUUUCCGUGUGCUGAGUUAUAUUUGCAUUAUUGGCUGAAAUAACCAAUCUGAUCUCAGAGUGAAGUUCUGCAGCUGUUUUUCUACACUAUCUGUCAUGCACUUUUGAAGGGGCACCAAAGAUAAUAAUUGUAUGAAAGCUCUCUUCUGAUACUCUGUUUCUGUGCUGGAUGCUAUCACUUGCUUUGGUACAGAAU